AAUCAACGCUGGCGGCGUGCCUAACACAUGCAAGUCGAACCGAGAAAGUGGAGCAAUCCAUGAGUAAAGUGGCGCACGGGUGAGUAACACGUGACUAACCUACCCUUGAGUGGGGGAUAACCUAGGGAAACCUGGGCUAAUACCGCAUAAUACCUACGGGUCAAAGGAGCAAUUCGCUUUAGGAGGGGGUCGCGGCAGAUUAGUUAGUUGGCGGGGUAAUGGCCCACCAAGACGAUGAUCNGUAUCCGGCCUGAGAGGGCGCACGGACACACUGGAACUGAAACACGGUCCAGACUCCUACGGGAGGCAGCA
rnacentral:rRNA from 1 species